UACAAUAAGAUUUCCUUCUUCAGAUACUUUAAUACUGUACCACUAUAAACUAUUAAAGGAUAUUUUCUGUUAGUAUUUCCACAGAAUAUCAUAACAAAUAAGUCCCUUGAACAGAACAACUAUGACUAGAAAGCAAAACCAGUGAGGAAAGAAGUCAUCUAAAGGCAAGGACUAUGUUACUUUACUGAACUUUUUAUCCCAGUGCCCAGCAAAGCAUUCAGUUACAUUUUGUAAAUAUGCUCAUUUCAGUAUCAGAUAGUAUCUCCUUUCAUAGGUCAAACGUGAAUUAGAAAUUUUAUUUAAGCAUUCCACAGGAAAUGGAGAGCAAAAUUUAAAAGAGCUAGAGUGACUUUAAGGGUGUUUAAGCACUUUCAAAGCAUUCACAUUUUUACUUGACUUCUACUCACACAUAUCUAUUCACUACAGCUUCUAUCAACUGCACGAACAGGAUUCUAACCCAUCUGCAUGAAAGGUGAAAACAAUUUAAAUACUCAGCAAUGUUCUAAUUGUUUAACAUAGAAAAAGGGUCUAGCAUUACCACUUUGGCCAAAAAUGAUUAGUGUGUCGCACAGAACUUACACAUUUUGGGUAUUUUAACAUUUAUUAUUAUACAAACAAGUAAUAAUUACAUCAGAGAGAGGACAGAAAUAUAAAGAGUUUAUUCACUCAAAUUAGGAAAAAAGUUUGGAGAGAACUUCCCCCCCACCCCGACAUUGUUAAAUGUGGUUGCAAGAGGUAUUACAGGUGACCCUAAUCAGUACAAAAUACAGAGUUGUGUUCAUGUCCAGGACUCUUGAAGGCAAGCAUUUGAUACACAGUACGAAACAGUUUAUAAGGAAAUAGUACAGAGAGAAAGACAAAAGAAGAGAGAGAGGGAAAGAACAGCCUAAAAGUUGGAACCACAAUGAAGGUAUCAAUCUUAAACUACAGGCAGUCAUAGACUAGUUCAAUUCUCCAGAGAUAGUCAUGCAGCUUUCUGAUGAUUCGGAUAGGUCUAAUAUUUGUUUAAAUAUGCAGAAAAGCAAUAGGAAUGAAUCCCUCUGGUAUAUUUGAACUCUUAUUUUCUUUCUUUCUUUCUUUCUUUCUUUCUUUCUUUCUUUCUUUCUUUCUUUCUUUCUUUCUUUCUCCCCCUCCCCCCAUCUCUCUCUCUCUUCUUCCUUCCUUUCUUUCUCUUUUCUUUUUCUUUCUUUUUCUCUUAUUAUGUUAGGUCGGCCCCUCCAGGACAAUGUUGAGGAGAAGCAAGGAUAGUGGGCAUCUGGCCUUUUCCAUGACUGUAAAGAUUCAGCCUGUCAAUUUCUCCAAAACAUCUGUUGGGAUUAUAGAUCUAUUUGGCAAGAAUGGACAUCUUAACAACAGUGAAUCUACCAACCCAUAAAUAAGGAGUCUGGAAUUUUGGUACAUGCUAGGCUAACUGACUCUUGAUGAGAACCCUGAACUCCUACGCGCAAGAUGAACUUCCCCAGAGGACAUUUUAUGCAUGCUGUUGCUAGAUGAAUUAAAGGUGUCCUCUCUCUCCUUAAAAGAAGACCCUUGGAAGCUUUCAGUUGUUUACCUCUGGACUUCAUCCUAUAUGCCUUUUUCCUAUUGCUGAUUUUCCUUUCUUGAAGUUGAUUUUGGUUCCUAUCCUUUUGCUAUAAUAAAUCAUAGCCAGAAGCACAACUAUA